ACCUUUCAUUCGCAUACUAGGGUUUCCAACAUUCAGCUUCUUCUCCAAGCUUCCUCUCUCAUUCUUCUCCAAGCUUCCUCUCUCAAUCUCAAACGUUUGAUAAGGUAAAUCGAAUAUGUUCUUUGUAUCCGACAUAAAUUUUGCAAUAUAUAUUGAUGAUUCUUCAUGCUUGAUUACUUAUUUUGUGUGUACUGAUUUCUCAGUUGUUCCAUAUUAUUACUCAAUCUUGAUCUUCCCAUGUUAUUCAUCUUCAUUUUAUAUCAAUCAGAUAUAGAUCCAAAUGAAUCAAGUUUUUGAUAUUGAAGGAAAAAAUUUUUAGGGUUUCACAUCUCAUUCUCAAUCGGCUAACAGCAAGGUAAUCUUAGGUUUUCUAUGUUGAUCCAAUCUUAAGUUUUCAAUCUUAUUCAUCAUUCUUGAUGUUGAUUUAAUUUCUUUUCUGUUUUGAUUUGUCAAUCUUUCGAUAUUAUUAUCCGAUCUUUUUAUUCUCAUCAUUACUUUGGAUUCCUUAAUCGUUUCACUUCAACAUCAGGUAGGAUCCAGAUUUGUUUGUUCUUUCACAUAUUGUUGAUUUUUUGAUAAAAUUUUCCUAUUUUUUGAUUGUUGCUCUAUGAACCGGCUCUGAUUAGCGAUUAAUCGGAGGCUAGCUACGAUUCUUACAACCAUGAUGACUGUUGUUGAUUUGAUUGUAUAUGUCCUGGAAAUGGUGGUGAUUAUGGUUCGUAUAGGCAGUCGGAAAGGAAUGAUUUAUAUAAACAGUAUGCGGAGAAGCUUUUACAAUCUGGGUAAGUUUAUAGAUGCUUUUGCUCAAAUGAGGUAUGUGUUGUUGAACUGGGAAUCUGGGAUGCCAUUGUUGAAGUUUUUAUAUAUGUUUAUGUGGAAGAAAGUCAUCCCCUUUCUAAACUAUAAGGUUAUGUUCUAUUUUGUGUUUUAGUUUACAUUCAGGUAGCUUAAUGAACUGUACAAUUGAAAAAGGAUCAAUGGUGGAUAGAGAAAACAUUUAAUGAAUUGUAUAAUUGAAAAUGAUCAAUCGUGAAAGGAGAAAACGUUUAGUUAUGUGAACCGUUUAAACAUGAUCUAUAAUUAUCAAGAUUGUAUAACAGUGUUAUGGCCAAGUUGGUAGUUGAUCCUAUUUGUCGUUAGAUACAACACCAAAUCGAUCAAUGUCCUUAGAUACAAAGUGGCAAUGGACCUCAACAUCAGCAGCCUUAUACCUUGCGCCAGUUGUCGUUUUGGCUCAUAUGAGCACAUUUUUAGUCAGUCUUGACUGAAUAGCGAUUGAGACUUUAACCGAAGAAAAUGCUUCUCCUAAAACAGAAGUGGGUCACACUAGGAAUGAUUAUGAGCACCUUAUUGCUGAAAAUGCAGCCCUUAAGAAAAGGCUGGCAUAAGCUUCUGAGCAGGAAGAAAAUAAGCAAUAAAUGGGCUGCAAAAAUCAUCAAUAUGUGCAAACCAUACUUGUGCAGGCCGGUUAACAGAAAACAAAUACCGCCUAUGGUCAUUUGACUUGAUGGUACGCUUAACCAGGUUAUUUGAUCAUUUCCAUGGAUUUUUAGGCUUCCAGUUGAUUUCGAAUUUGAAAUUCCAUCUCGAAUCCCCAGUACCAGUGAAGUUAUAGGCACACGGGUAAUGCACUAUUGCUUUGAAGAUAUGGAUUAAACCCCGUUCGUUGGACUGAAUAACAAAUGAAUGGUUAGAUUUGUCUCCGUGAGACCCCACAUUCCGGAUCAAUACUGUUAGCAGCGACCUAAAUCAACAGCUUUAUAUUGCAAAGCUUCGUCUUUGAGCUCCAACAUUCAGGUUCUUGAGAGUUGCAGAGGAGAAAUUUUUGAGGAGAUUGAAGAAGUUAGAGGGUGAAAAAGAGUGAAUCCAUGUACAAGAGUGGAGGAGAUUAAUGGAGUAAUGCAAAAUUGGGUGGAAGUAAGUGAGAAAGCUUUAGGAAUUAACAAAAUCAUCAAAUUUCAGCUGGUAUCUUCGGUUCUUGAAAUGAAACUAAAGGGUGGCGCAUCUCCCACGAAAAAAGAGCAAGGAAUCAAUGGACGUGGAUGGAAAGAAGGAAGGAGCUGAAAGAUGUGAGUUAUAAAAUGUCCAUUACAAAGCGUGUGCUAAUAACUUUGUAGGUAUCUUAAUUAGUGGAAAGAUUAUUUUAUCAUAUUUGUUUAUAACAAGCCUCGAUUGUAUCAUUUAGCAUGACGAAUCCUAUUCUUCUUACAUUCCACAUACG